ACACUCCUGCGGGAGGCAGCAGUAGGGAAUCUUCCACAAUGGGUGCAAACCUGAUGGAGCAAUGCCGCGUGAGUGAAGAAGGUCUUCGGAUCGUAAAGCUCUGUUGUUAGAGAAGAACACGUGCUAGGUAACUACUAGCGCCUUGACGGUAUCUAACCAGAAAGUCACGGCUAACUACGUGCCAGCAGCCGCGGUAAUACGUAGGUGACAAGCGUUGUCCGGAUUUAUUGGGCGUAAAGGGAGCGCAGGCGGUCUGUUUAGUCUAAUGUGAAAGCCCACGGCUUAACCGUGGAACGGCAUUGGAAACUGACAGACUUGAAUGUAGAAGAGGAAAAUGGAAUUCCAAGUGUAGCGGUGGAAUGCGUAGAUAUUUGGAGGAACACCAGUGGCGAAGGCGAUUUUCUGGUCUAACAUUGACGCUGAGGCUCGAAAGCGUGGGGAGCGAACAGGAUUAGAAACCCGAGUAGUCCCAUGAU
rnacentral:rRNA from 1 species